UACGUAGGGAGCAAGCGUUGUCCGGAAUCAUUGGGCGUAAAGCGCGCGUAGGUGGCUUCGUAAGUCCGUUGUGAAAGUCAAAGGCUCAACCUUUGAAUGCCGAUGGAUACUGCGGAGCUAGAGUACGGAAGAGGCGAGUGGAAUUCCUGGUGUAGCGGUGAAAUGCGUAGAUAUCGUAAGGAAGACCAGUGGCGAAGGCGGGUCUCUGGACAGUUCCUGACGCUGAGGCACGAAGGUCAGGGGAGCAAACGGG
rnacentral:rRNA from 1 species